AUGAGGAUGUAGUCAAUCUGAGUCCUCGCCGCCGAACUCUUGAAGGUGACCAAAUGCUCCUCCCUCUUCCGGAAUGUCGAGUUCGCAAUCAGGAGCAUGGAAGCCCUAGCGAAAUCAAGCAGCGAAGUGCCUCCUCCGUUCCUGACCCCAAAGCCGAAGCCACCGUGCACCUUAUCAUAGCCACCAGCAUCAACCCCAAUAUGAUCAUUAAAGUCCCCUCCAAUAACUAACUUCUCAGGUUGGGGAAUACCACCCACCAGAUCAUCCAAGUCCUCCCAAAAGCGCCUCUUAGCCUCCUCGUCUAAGCCCGCUUG
rnacentral:lncRNA from 1 species